CAUUCCUGUGUGCUUUUGCUAGGCGUGUGAAGUUUGUGGGGUCUCAGCUCUUGGGAAAGGCAUUUAGAAGGAUAAGCGCUUGUGCCUGACUUCUCCAAGGCCCGUGUGUCGAGGUAGUCUGAAGAGCUUAUGCUGUGAGCAAUGAGCUUUACAAGGUGAUAUCUGAAACCUUCCUCUUUCCUUAGUUUCACUGCUUCUGCUACUGUUUUUUUGCAGUGUCAAGUACACGAGACCAUACGAACCCCUGAGGAACAGACAUAUCACAUCAAGUUUGAAAGACCUCUUAGCCCUGGAUGGCUUAUUUUUGCUGUUAUUUCUUCUUAAACAAGGAGUCCUUGUGGUUUGUCAUGCAGCCACAUAGGUUUGGGGGAAGGGAUUUAUCUGCUCAGUACAGUAACCAAUGUUGAUGUGGAAGGGAAAUGACUAUGGCCAUAAUUACUUCCAGUGAGUGUAGAAACUGGAGAAGGUUAGAGCCUCCUUGUGCACUGUGCACCUAGGGAUCAGUGUUCAAUAUGAAUGACAGAAGAACAAAGGUCAGACUUCUGGAACCACUCACAGUCAAACACAGUUGCCAAGCUCCCUUGAAUUUUAUUUGUUACUUGUUAAAACAACAAAAUUAAAAAAAAAAAAGAAACCCUUUCUUCUCAUUAUAGAUGGAGGAACACAGAUGCACAGCCCAGGUCUCCAGCUAAAAGAGACAGUGAAAGGGAGUCCGUACUGGUGUUCAGAAGGAAAGAUACUUUAUAAGGACUGGUAUGCAUGGUGGAAGCUCUCUUCUGACUGUGCACCCCCACAGAACACACAAGGAAGCAACAGAAGGGUUUUUUGGCUGUUUUCGGCUUCCUAGCUGCAAACAGUACUCCUUGCUCAGCCAUUCUGGUUGUUAGUGGUAGAAGGUAGCCAGAGUGGUACCAGGCAGAACAUGGGCAUAGUGAAAUGACUGGGCAUGUGGCAGUGAAAAACACCCAGCUUAGGGUGAGAUAUAAAUCUUUGCUCUUCAGCAAUAAACUCACUACUGAUUCAAGACCUCUCUUUUUUGCAUUCCCUCUACCAGAGGGAUGCACCAUCAACUUUCAGCUCAGACAGUCCAAUUCAGUAAUUGCUCUAACUGUUCCUGUGUGUUCCAGUGACAGCCUCCUGCUCAAGAGAAAGCCUGGGUUACAAAAGCAGGAAGUCUUAUCCUCUGGUCUAGUUCAAAGCAUUUAUCAUCCAUGGGAGUAGGUAAAGAAAACCCUUGUCAGGAAAGCAGGCCCAAGAACUAAAUCCCACAUCAGAAAACAGCCCUUCCUCAUGGUACAUCUGCUUGCACUAAGGAGGCAGAGUAAUAGCACACUGAGACACAGUUCAAGUCAAGGCAGUAGGAGAGUAGUUUUGCAUCUCUGUCAACUCCAUUUUCUAUCCUGCAUUAUCCAGCUGCUGAACUUCUAUCACAGCACAACUGGAUUAUAAACUGUAAAUUUAUUAAUAAUUACAGUUUUUAUUAUUAAUUUACAGUUUAUAUUAAUAUAUUAAUAAUAACAGUUAUUAACAGUGUAGUUAAUAACGGCAGACUCCCACAUGAGGAUACAAUAUACUGCAUACAAACAUUGAACACAAAGGCGUAACCCCAGCAAAGUACCACAUCUUCUGUUAUAAAGGGAAACAGGACAACAUAUUUGGCAUUUUUGCUGGCGUUCGGUCUCAGUUUGGGAGGAAGGUUCACAUACUCAACUUACUGCAAUUCAACACAAAGGAUUUCACCGAGAAGCCCUCUCCUGAGUUACCUACUGAAAAACCCGAUACAGUUCUUAGUGGACUCUUCUUAAAGGAAAGCAGAAGCCCUCUCCUGAGUUACCUACUGAAAAACCCGAUACAGUUCUUAGUGGACUCUUCUUAAAGGAAAGCAGAAGGUCACUGUAAGACAGCCAACACUGCUCCUCCCUCAGGACAGCACACCCAUCUUCAAGCCAGGGAAGCCGUACCGCAUUCGAGAAAGGCUGCCGUGCAGAAAUUCAGC
rnacentral:lncRNA from 1 species